rnacentral:rRNA from 1 species
GAGGAAUAUUGGACAAUGGGCGCAAGCCUGAUCCAGCCAUGCCGCGUGCAGGAAGACGGCCCUAUGGGUUGUAAACUGCUUUUGUACGGGAAGAAACACCACUACGCGUAGUGGCUUGACGGUACCGUAAGAAUAAGGAUCGGCUAACUCCGUGCCAGCAGCCGCGGUAAUACGGAGGAUCCAAGCGUUAUCCGGAAUCAUUGGGUUUAAAGGGUCCGUAGGUGGACGAUUAAGUCAGGGGUGAAAUCUUGCAGCUCAACUGUAAAAUUGCCCUUGAUACUGGUUGUCUUGAAUCAUUGUGAAGUGGUUAGAAUAUGUAGUGUAGCGGUGAAAUGCAUAGAUAUUACAUAGAAUACCGAUUGCGAAGGCAGAUCACUAACGGUGCAUUGACGCUGAUGGACGAAAGCGUGGGGAGCGAAC